UGUCCUUAGUCCACACCGAUAGCUUUCGCCAGACACCUAUAUGCGCCCACAGCACUCAAAAGGUUGUUCGCGAACGAAAGGGAAUCGUCUCGAGAAAGAAAAAUCGCUUAUAAGUAUUUGAGCACAUCGAAUUUUCAACGGUCGUGAGAAUUUGCCUAAAUCAAGAUGAGAAGCCCGAAUGUGAAUGUGAAGGCAAACUAUGGCGAGCUUCAAACCGUCAUAGAGGAAAGCACAUCGGGCGAAGAGGAAGAGGAAGGGCGAAGGAACGAGUCGCCUCCGCGUUGCAUGGAUCCCGAUUCGACACCCUUAAAUCCUCAUCUAUUGUCUCCCUGGCAAGAGGUCAGGAAACGCUCUCUACCGACUCCGCAAUGUACUUCCGGGAUAACCGCAUCACAGUGUAUCCUGUUAGCUUAACAAAACAUAACGUUGUCCAACGUUUGCAUAUGUUGGGAAUAUGAUACAUUUACACUGUACAUGUGAAUGUGUGUGUAAGCGUCAGAGGACGUCCGGGUCUUGGUUGAGACAAAAGACAAGAGCCAGUCGUUAG